rnacentral:rRNA from 1 species
GAUGAGCGCUAGCUACAGGCUUAACACAUGCAAGUCGAGGGGAAACGACAUCGAAAGCUUGCUUUUGAUGGGCGUCGACCGGCGCACGGGUGAGUAACGCGUAUCCAACCUGCCCACCACUUGGGGAUAACCUUGCGAAAGUAAGACUAAUACCCAAUGAUAUCUCUAGAAGACAUCUGAAAGAGAUUAAAGAUUUAUCGGUGAUGGAUGGGGAUGCGUCUGAUUAGCUUGUUGGCGGGGUAACGGCCCACCAAGGCAACGAUCAGUAGGGGUUCUGAGAGGAAGGUCCCCCACAUUGGAACUGAGACACGGUCCAAACUCCUACGGGAGGCAGCAGUGAGGAAUAUUGGUCAAUGGACGAGAGUCUGAACCAGCCAAGUAGCGUGCAGGAAGACGGCCCUAUGGGUUGUAAACUGCUUUUAUAAGGGAAUAAAGUGAGUCUCGUGAGACUUUUUGCAUGUACCUUAUGAAUAAGGACCGGCUAAUUCCGUG